rnacentral:rRNA from 1 species
GAAUUUUGGACAAUGGGCGAAAGCCUGAUCCAGCAAUGCCGCGUGCAGGAUGAAGGCCUUCGGGUUGUAAACUGCUUUUGUACGGAACGAAAAGCUUUGGGGUAAUACCCUGGAGUCAUUACGGUAACGUACACAUACGCACCGGCUAACUACGUUCCAGCAGCCGCGGUAAUACGGAGGGUGCAAGCGUUAAUCGGAAGUACUGGGCGGAAAGCGUGUGCAGGCGGUUUUGUAAGACAGAGGGGAAAUCCCCGGGCUCAACCUGGGAACGGCCUUUGUGACUGCAAGGCUAGAGUACGGCAGAGGGGGGUGGAAUUCCGCGUGUAGCAGUGAAAUGCGUAGAUAUGCGGAGGAACACCGAUGGCGAAGGCAACCCCCUGGGCCUGUACUGACGCUCAUGCACGAAAGCGUGGGGAGCAAACA